AUUGAACGCUGGCGGCAGGCUUAACACAUGCAAGUCGAGCGGGGUGAUGGUGCUUGCACUAUCACUUAGCGGCGGACGGGUGAGUAAUGCUUAGGAAUCUGCCUAUUAGUGGGGGACAACAUCUCGAAAGGGAUGCUAAUACCGCAUACGUCCUACGGGAGAAAGCAGGGGAUCACUUGUGACCUUGCGCUAAUAGAUGAGCCUAAGUCGGAUUAGCUAGUUGGGGGGGUAAAGGCCUACCAAGGCGACGAUCUGUAGCGGGUCUGCGAGGAUGAUCCGCCACACUGGACUGAGACCCGGCCCAGACUCCUACGGGAGGCAGCAGUGGGGAAUAUUGGACAAUGGGGGGAACCCUGAUCCAGCCAUGCCGCGUGUGUGAAGAAGGCCUUAUGGUUGUAAAGCACUUUAAGCGAGGAGGAGGCUCUUUUGGUUAAUACCCAAGAUGAGUGGACGUUACUCGCAGAAUAAGCACCGGCUAACUCUGUGCCAGCCGCCGCAGUAA
rnacentral:rRNA from 1 species